rnacentral:rRNA from 1 species
GACAGAGGGUGCAAACGUUGUUCGGAAUUACUGGGCGUAAAGCGCGUGUAGGCGGGAAUGUAAGUCGGGCGUGAAAUCCCUAGGCUCAACCUAGGAACUGCACUCGAAACUGCGUUUCUUGAGUAUCGGAGAGGAAAGCGGAAUACCUGGUGUAGAGGUGAAAUUCGUAGAUAUCAGGUGGAACACCAGUGGCGAAGGCGGCUUUCUGGACGAUAACUGACGCUGAGACGCGAAAGCGUGGGGAGCAAACAGG